AGCAGUGGGGAAUUUUGGACAAUGGGCGCAAGCCUGAUCCAGCAAUGCCGCGGGAGUGAAGAAGGCCUUCGGGUUGUAAAGCUCUUUUGUCAGGGAAGAAACGGUGAGGGCUAAUAUCUCUUGCUAAUGACGGUACCUGAAGAAUAAGCACCGGCUAACUACGUGCCAGCAGCCGCGGUAAUACGUAGGGUGCAAGCGUUAAUCGGAAUUACUGGGCGUAAAGCGUGCGCAGGCGGUUUUGUAAGUUUGUCGUGAAAGCCCCGGGCUCAACCUGGGAAUUGCGAUGAAGACUGCAAGGCUUGAAUCUGUCAGAGGGGGGUAGAAUUCCACGUGUAGCAGUGAAAUGCGUAGAGAUGUGGAGGAACACCGAUGGCGAAGGCAGCCCCCUGGGUCAAGAUUGACGCUCAUG
rnacentral:rRNA from 1 species